rnacentral:rRNA from 1 species
GGUGGUUUGUCGCGUUGUUCGUGAAAACCGGAGGCUCAACCUCUGGCGUGCGGGCGAUACGGGCAGACUUGAGUACUGCAGGGGAGACUGGAAUUCCUGGUGUAGCGGUGGAAUGCGCAGAUAUCAGGAGGAACACCGGUGGCGAAGGCGGGUCUCUGGGCAGUAACUGACGCUGAGGAGCGAAAGCGUGGGGAGCGAACAGGAUUAGAUACCCUGGUAGUCCACGCCGUAAACGGUGGGUACUAGGUGUGGGUUUCCUUCCUUGGGAUCCGUGCCGUAGCUAACGCAUUAAGUACCCCGCCUGGGGAGUACGGCCGCAAGGCUAAAACUCAAAGAAAUUGACGGGGGCCCGCACAAGCGGCGGAGCAUGUGGAUUAAUUCGAUGCAACGCGAAGAACCUUACCUGGGUUUGACRUGCACARGACGYGCCYAGAGAUGGGUAUUCCCUUGUGGCCUGUGUGCAGGUGGUG